GUUUGAUUUCACAUUAGUGUGAUUGACUUGGAGUUACAUUGUGUUUAAGUGUUCCCUUUAUUUUUUUGAGCAGUGUAUAUUCCAGUGGACUGGUUUCUCCACAAUUCCUCUCUUUAACCUCUUUAAGACACAUGACGGAAAUAGUCAGUCAUAAUACCAUUUUAUUUUUGAAGCGGUGUCUUUAAUGAAACUGUGUUAGAGGGGUUCCCUUCAACCUUAACUCAGCAAUUGCAAAGAAACGAGUUUCCCUUCAGAGAGACAACUUUAAAAAGUCCAUUUCAAACUGAAGUUUGCCCAGUCUUUUUUAAUGUGAU